UCAGACGAUGCGUCAUGCAUAUCAAUAAGCGGAGGAAAAGAAACUAACAAGGAUUCCCCUAGUAACGGCGAGUGAAGCGGGAAGAGCUCAAAUUUGAAAUCUUAAAGGGUUUCCCUUUACGAAUUGUAGUUUAAAGAAGUGUUUUCUGUUGAGGUUUUGGUAAAAGUUCUUUGGAAUAGGACAUCAUAGAGGGUGAGAAUCCCGUAUUUGACCUUUACUUUCAACUUUGUGAUACACUUUCAAAGAGUCGGAUUGUUUGGGAAUGCAGUCCAAAAUGGGUGGUAAAUUUCAUCUAAAGCUAAUUAUUGGCGAGAAACCGAUAGCGAACAAGUACCGUGAGGGAAAGAUGAAAAGAACUUUGAAAAGAGAGUUAAACAGUACGUGAAAUUGUCAAAAGGGAAGCGUUUGACACCAGUGUUGCUUUUUCUGAAAAUCAAUUAAAGAACUGUUUAUGCUAAGCUGUUUAGACUUUAUCAGCUAUCUGUUUAGUUUUGAGCUUUUCUUUAAUGCACUUUUCAGUUAACAAGUCAACAUCAAUUUCUUUUGCUGUAAAAAAGCUUGAGGAAGGUGGCUUGAGAUUCGUCUUAAGUGUUUAUAGCCCCUUGCCUAUGCAGUCGGAGAGAUUGAGGUCUGCAGCGUAGAUCCUUCGGGGCUAAAUGCAUUUGUGCUAAGUUAUAGCAUUUUAUAGACAACUUGUUGACUAUGAUUUGUCUUGUAGCUUACUCGCUUAUGUUAUUUUACCUACGCUUAGGAUGUUGACACACGCGCGUGCUCG
rnacentral:rRNA from 1 species